AAAGUGGUAAAACAGGUGUGGCAUAUAGACCCUGUGAAGAGGUCACAGAUGCUGGAACCGAAGAGGAACUACAGGAUUUAUUUCACGUCAGCUACUUUUCUUGUCAGCCCUGUGGCCAAAGGGAGCAAGAAUGUGUCUCAGACUUCAGCUUGAGGAGGAAGAGUUCAGAUUGCCAGAACUGGACUAGCACUUUUGAAUUUCCCAGAAUGCCAGGCGCUGGCAUAGCGGUUCAGCUCGGACGCAGGAUGUGGCUCCAGCUCCUCACUGGCCUGGAUCACUGCCCCUGGAGCCGCCGCAUGUUAUGUCCGGGCUGUGCCAUUGGUUGCCACGGCUCUUCCUCACAUGGCAAGGACGGUGGCUUCUAGUCCAGGCAGUUCAGCCUCCGGAGUGGGCCCUGGGCCCCGUGCAGUGCAGAUGUUGGCCCCGCCUCAUCAGGAGUUGACUGAGACUGAGGUUCCAUACCCGGACACGGAUUCGGUUGGAGAGCUGCCUACAGGGCCAGAUCAGUUUGCUGUUCCACAUCAGGAUCUGAAUAACAAGCAAACCCAACAUCAAAAGCUCCCAGAGGCAGUUCCAGUGCUCGACUGGGAUCAGAAUCAGUCCUUGGUUCUCCC